rnacentral:rRNA from 1 species
UACGUAGGGGGCAAGCGUUGUCCGGAAUCACUGGGCGUAAAGCGCUCGCAGGCGGUCAUCUACGUCUGGGGUGAAAGCCCGGAGCUCAACUCCGGGACUGCCUUGGAUACGGGAUGACUUGAGGAUCGGAGAGGCAAGGGGAAUUCCACGUGUAGCGGUGAAAUGCGUAGAGAUGUGGAGGAACACCUGUGGCGAAGGCGACUUGCUGGCCGAUUUCUGACGCUGAGGCGCGAAAGCGUGGGGAGCAAACAGG